UAAUUUCUAAACCUUGUUGCGGUGAACGUGGAUCAAACACGUGACCUUCAGAUCUUCAGUCUGACGCUCUCCCAACUGAGCUAUC